rnacentral:rRNA from 1 species
AUACGGAGGGUGCAAGCGUUGCUCGGAAUCACUGGGCGUAAAGCGAACGCAGGCGGCCCGGCAAGUCGGGUGUGAAAGCCCGGGGCUCAACCCCGGAAUUGCACUCGAAACUGCCGGCCUUGAGUACGGGAGAGGGAAGCGGAAUUCCUAGUGUAGAGGUGAAAUUCGUAGAUAUUAGGAGGAACACCCGUGGCGAAAGCGGCUUCCUGGCCCGAUACUGACGCUCAUGUUCGAAAGCGUGGGGAGCAAACAGGAUUAGAUACCCUAGUAGUCC